GAUGAACGCUGGCGGCGUGCCUAAUACAUGCAAGUCGAGCGAACAGACGAGGAGCUUGCUCCCCUGACGUUAGCGGCGGACGGGUGAGUAACACGUGGAUAACCUACCUAUAAGACUGGGAUAACUUCGGGAAACCGGAGCUAAUACCGGAUAAUAUAUUGAACCGCAUGGUUCAAUAGUGAAAGACGGUUUUGCUGUCACUUAUAGAUGGAUCCGCGCCGCAUUAGCUAGUUGGUAAGGUAACGGCUUACCAAGGCGACGAUGCGUAGCCGACCUGAGAGGGUGAUCGGCCACACUGGAACUGAGACACGGUCCAGACUCCUACGGGAGGCGGCAGUAGGGAAUCUUCCGCAAUGGGCGAAAGCCUGACGGAGCAACGCCGCGUGAGUGAUGAAGGUCUUCGGAUCGUAAAACUCUGUUAUUAGGGAAGAACAAAUGUGUAAGUAACUAUGCACGUCUUGACGGUACCUAAUCAGAAAGCCACGGCUAACUACGUG
rnacentral:rRNA from 1 species